rnacentral:rRNA from 1 species
UACGUAGGGGGCGAGCGUUGUCCGGAUUUAUUGGGCGUAAAGAGCUCGUAGGCGGCUUGGCAAGUCGGGUGUGAAACCUCCAGGCUCAACCUGGAGACGCCACUCGAUACUGCUAUGGCUAGAGUCCGGUAGGGGACCACGGAAUUCCUGGUGUAGCGGUGAAAUGCGCAGAUAUCAGGAGGAACACCGGUGGCGAAGGCGGUGGUCUGGGCCGGCACUGACGCUGAGGAGCGAAAGCGUGGGUCGCGAAUGGG